AUUUAAUUUAAUUGAACAAGAGAGAAGGAGGAUAAAUGCAAGGGCGUCAUCUGAAUCGUAUAAAGGGGAUCACUGCCCACCUUUUUCCCCAGAGCUGCAAGAAAGGUAGCUGAUGAAACAGACACCAUCGAAGAGGAAAACCUUCUUAUCCUACAUAGCCUGGCUGCAGCUGACUGGUGCAAUAAGGCAACAUUCAAUGGAGGACUGAAACUCUGCUGUCCUUUCGAUGGACAGAGAAGAAAAAAAAGAAGCCAUCCAGGAGAUGGACACCUGGGAUGGGGAACUGGAUGAGGAUUCUCCAGCAGAACUUUUUACAUAAAAAAAAAAAAAAAAGGACUAUGACAACUUCUGGGAAGAAUUUGUUGAUAAAAACAAUUACAUAAAUCUUCCUCAAAUCUUCCUCAUAAAUCUUCCUCAAAUCUUCCUCAAGA
ensembl:lncRNA